CACGUAGGGCGCAAGCGUUGUCCGGAAUUAUUGGGCGUAAAGAGCUCGUAGGCGGUCUGUUGCGUCCGCUGUGAAAACUCGGGGCUUAACCCCGAGCCUGCAGUGGAUACGGGCAGACUAGAGGUAGGUAGGGGAGAAUGGAAUUCCCGGUGUAGUGGUGAAAUGCGUAGAGAUCGGGAGGAACACCGGUGGCGAAGGCGGUUCUCUGGGCAUUACCUGACGCUGAGGAGCGAAAGUGUGGGGAGCGAACAGG
rnacentral:rRNA from 1 species